CUAAGAAUCUUGCGCAAUGGGCGAAAGCCUGACGCAGCAAUUCCGCGUGGAGGAUGAAGGCUCUAGGGUCGUAAACUCCUUUUGCGAGGGAAGAAGAUCUGACGGUACCUCGCGAAUAAGACACGGCUAACUACGUGCCAGCAGCCGCGGUAAUACGUAGGUGUCGAGCGUUGUCCGGAUUUAUUGGGCGUAAAGAGCCCGCAGGCGGCUUGUCUAGUCCGAGGUGAAAUCUCCCGGCUCAACUGGGAGGGUGCCUCGGAAACUGGCAGGCUUGAGGCAGGGAGAGGGAUGUGGAAUUCCAGGUGUAGUGGUGAAAUGCGUAGAGAUCGGGAGGAACACCAGUGGCGAAGGCGGCCUCCGAGCCUGAACCUGACGCUGAAGCGCGAGAGCGUGGGGA
rnacentral:rRNA from 1 species